rnacentral:rRNA from 1 species
CUGAAAGGGAUACUUCUUCGGACAAUAUACAAGGUGCUGCAUGGUUGUCGUCAGCUCGUGCCGUGAGGUGUCGGGUUAAGUCCCAUAACGAGCGCAACCCUAUCAUUAGUUGCCAUCAGGUCAAGCUGGGGACUCUAAUGAAACUGCCUACGCAAGUAGUGAGGAAGGUGGGGAUGACGUCAAAUCAGCACGGCCCUUACGUCCAGGGCUACACACGUGCUACAAUGGCCGGGUACAAAGGGCAGCUACCUGGUGACAGGAUGCUAAUCUCAAAAGCCGGUCUCAGUUCGGAUCGGAGUCUGCAACCCGACUCCGUGAAGUUGGAUUCGCUAGUAAUCGCGCAUCAGCCAUGGCGCGGUGAAUACGUUCCCGGGCCUU